GAUGAAGAACGUAGCGAAAUGCGAUAAGUAAUGUGAAUUGCAGAAUUCAGUGAAUCAUCGAAUCUUUGAACGCACAUUGCGCCCGCCAGUAUUCUGGCGGGCAUGCCUGUUCGAGCGUCAUUUCAACCAUCAAGCCCCCGGCUUGUGUUGGGGACCUGCGGCUGCCGCAGGCCCUGAAAAGCAGUGGCGGGCUCGCUGUCGCACCGAGCGUAGUAGCAUACAUCUCGCUCUGGGCGUGCUGCGGGUUCCGGCCGUUAAACCACCUUCAUAACCCAAGGUUGACCUCGGAUCAGGUAGGAAGACCCGCUGAACUUAAGCAUAUCAAUAAGCGGAGGA
rnacentral:misc_RNA from 1 species